UUGGUAAAUUAAACAUUUUGCAGAUGUAAUUUAGACAGAAUGGAGCCAAUGGUACUCAGGGAGCCCAAGAUAAGGUUGUUAUUUGAUCUUCUAAUUAAGCCAGACAUAAGGUGAGAUGUAUUGGUUCUUUUGCACAUAUUUUUGUUUGCUGUUCUCUCCCCUUCCCUUUCAUACUUACAUUACUAACAGAACUCACCUUUUUGCCCUUUUCAUUUAUGAUUGUUUGUACCUUUUCCAAAUGUGUUAUUGUUACAUGUCUUUGUGUGAGAAUGAUGUAUCAAAAGGAUCCUUUUCAAUAUAUUGGACUUAUACUAAUCUUGUGUCAGUUUCUACCAUUCUCAAGGGCACUAGGGAUAGACAGAAGGCAGCAGAUACCACAUUGAGGGAACCAUUGCCAGGAUACAGGGUAUCCACUAUAACAAUGGGCCAACUUAAUUUGGCCAAAGUGAAUUACAGUUUGUCCAAAUCCCUAUACAAAGAAUGCACUCUGACAACACUACUUGAAAAGAAGAGUCCAGGAAGUUUAGCUCGACUAAAAUUAAGCCAAUCACUGAAUAAAGGAUGCAGGUAUAGAUAGAUGUCAAAUUACAGAUGACAACACAAUGUCAAUGAGACCAUAACCAGGAGGUGGGGUUUCCACUAUGUCGACCAGCCAACAUUUACCAAAGUGGUAGGAAACAAGCUUCACAUGGAGGACCACGCAAAGAAAAAAACACUUGGUGAAGAAGAAAACCAUACAAUUGAAGAGAAGAGGACCACACAAGGAAAAGGAGACCACAUGGAAGAGGACCACACAGUUGAAGAGAAGAGGACCACACAAGGAAGAAGAGGAGGACCAAACAAGGAAGAAGAGGACCACACAAGGAAGAGAGGUCCAUUGCCAAGAUACUGGGUAUCCACUAGAAAAACAGGCCAACAUUGGCCAAAGUGAGUUGUAGUCAAUCCCAAUACAAAGAAGGGAAUCAACUUAAGCCAACCACUGAAUAAAGGGUUUGGAUAGAUACCAAAUUACAGGCACCAACACAUUGACAAGGAGGUCAUAACAAGGACACUGGGUUUUCACUUUGUUGAUAAGCCAGCAUUAACCAAAGUGGUUAAAAAGAAGCUGCAUAUGGAGGACAACACAAAAAGGAGAGGACCACACAAAGUAAAAGAUCACAUGGUGAAGAAGAGGACUACACAAUGAAAAGGACCACAUGUUGAAAAUAAGGACUACACAAUGUUGAAGAAAAGGAUCACACAAAGAAGAAGAGAUCAUUGCCAGGAUACAGGGUAUCCACUGGGAAAACAGGCCAACAUUGGCCAAAGUGAAUUGUAGAUAGCCCCAAUCCCAAUACAAAGAAUGAAUUCAGGGAGUUAGGAUCAACUGAAGCCAACCACUGAAUAAAGGGUAAAGAAAGAUGCAAAAUUACAGACACCAACACAUCGACAUUACAAAGACCAGCCAAAGAAGGUAACUACACAAUGAAGUAGAGGAGGACCUCAUGGUGAAGAAGAGGAGGACCACAUGGUGAAGAAGAGGACCAAAAAAGGAAGAGGAGACCAUUGCCGCGAUAGUGGGUAUCCACUAUAAGAACAGACCAAGAUUAGCCAAAGUGAAUUGUAGUUAGCCCCAAUCCCAAUACAAUGAAUGCAUUCCACCAACAGUCCAACACUUAUUCAAUAGAAGAGUCCAGGGUAUUGUGAUCUACUGAAGCCAAGCACUGAAUAAAGGGUAUAGAUAUAUGCAAAACAAUGACAAUGAGGCUAUAACCAGGAGACUGGGUUUUCACUGUGUUGACAAUCCAACAUUGACCAAAAUGGUAAGACACACACUGCAUGUGGAGGACCACACAAAGAAGCAAAGGACCACAUGGGGAAGAAAAGUAGGACAACACAAAGAGGAAGAGGACCGCACAAGAAAGAAGAUCACACAAGGAAGAGGAGCCAUUGCCAGGUUACUCAGUAUCUAUUACACAAACCGGCCAACAUUGGCCAAAGUGUUAGUACAAAUCCCAAUACAAAGAAUUCAAUCUGACAACAUUACUUGUGAGAAGAGUCCGUGGAGUUAGGAUCAACUGUAGCCAACCACUUAAUAGACGAUGGAGGUAAAGAUAGAUGCAAAAUUACAGACGACAACACAAUGACAAUUUGAUCAUAACCAGGAUACUGGGUUUCCACUAUGUUGACAAUCCAACAUUGACCAAAAUGGUAAAACACACACUGCAUGUGGAGGACCACAUAUUUAAGAAGAGGACCAUAUGGUAAAGAAGAGGACCACAAAAAGAAGAGGACCAUAUGAUAAAGAAGAGGACCACAAAAAGAAGAGGACUACAUGGUGAAGAGGAGGACCACGUGGUGAAGAAGAGGAGGACCACACAAGGAAGAGGAGGACCACAUGAAGAGGAACCAAUACUGACCAAAGUGAUUAAUGGUUACACAAGCUUUGAUUUCAUGGUCGAUAACAUUCCCAUCACUUACAAGGAGGAGUCCACGGAACCAAGAUCCACUGCAGCCAGCCAUAGAAGAAAGGAUGACAGCAGGAAUGGACAGAUGCCAAACUGAGGACGACCAUUCAAUAAAGACUAGGAUCAAAGAAGAAGAAACCAACAGGCUAACAUUGGCCAACAUGAACAAUGGUUAGAAAGGCUUCAAUUUGUGGCAGAGAAUACAACUAUCACUCUUUAGGAGGAGUUUAGCCAGGAAAGAUCCACUGCAGCCAGCCAUGGAAGAAAGGAAAAUGAGAUACAAAAUACUGGAAGAUUACAUCACCUGUCAACAUGAACGCCCAGAGCUGGACACCAGAUAGCCACACAGUAAGAGGAGAUCAUUGCCAGAGUAUAGGGUGUCCAUUUUGCCAGCAGCCAGUUGUUCAGUGAAUAAUGGUUUAGCAAUCUUUGACUGCAGUCACCCAUUCUUUGGGUUAGGAAGAGUUAAACACCAACUAAAGGAGUACAGAGAGCUGGAAUUGACUUUGGCAUGCAGGAAAUGACAAGGGACAAGGCUGGUUUUGAUCAAAUCUUACUGUUGAUGGAAAAGUUUGAAUACACAUUGACUGCAACCUACUGUACAAGUGAGGACAGAGAGUUGGACUGGCAUUCUACACCAGUCAUAGAAGAACCUAUAGGACAGAAGAAGAUUCCAGAUUGGUGGCUUGAUUUGAACAUCAGAAG